GGUUAAGCGACUAAGCGUACACGGUGGAUGCCCUGGCAGUCAGAGGCGAUGAAGGACGUGCUAAUCUGCGAAAAGCGUCGGUAAGGUGAUAUGAACCGUUAUAGCCGGCGAUGUCCGAAUGGGGAAACCCAGUGUGAUUCGUCACACUAUCGUUAACUGAAUACAUAGGUUAACGAGGCGAACCGGGGGAACUGAAACAUCUAAGUACCCCGAGGAAAAGAAAUCAACCGAGAUUCCCCCAGUAGCGGCGAGCGAACGGGGAGCAGCCCAGAGUCUGAAUCAGCUUGUGUGUUAGUGGAACGGUCUGGAAAGUCCGACGGUACAGGGUGAUAGUCCCGUACACCAAAAUGCACAGGCUGUGAACUCGAAGAGUAGGGCGGGACACGUGGUAUCCUGUCUGAAUAUGGGGGGACCAUCCUCCAAGGCUAAAUACUCCUGACUGACCGAUAGUGAACCAGUACCGUGAGGGAAAGGCGAAAAGAACCCCGGCGAGGGGAGUGAAAAAGAACCUGAAACCGUGUACGUACAAGCAGUGGGAGCACCUUCGGGUGUGACUGCGUACCUUUUGUAUAAUGGGUCAGCGACUUAUAUUCUGUAGCAAGGUUAACCGUAUAGGGGAGCCGCAGGGAAACCGAGUCUUAACUGGGCGUUAAGUUGCAGGGUAUAGACCCGAAACCCGGUGAUCUAGCCAUGGGCAGGUUGAAGGUUGGGUAACACUAACUGGAGGACCGAACCGACUAAUGUUGAAAAAUUAGCGGAUGACUUGUGGCUGGGGGUGAAAGGCCAAUCAAACCGGGAGAUAGCUGGUUCUCCCCGAAAGCUAUUUAGGUAGCGCCUCGUGAACUCAUCUUCGGGGGUAGAGCACUGUUUCGGCUAGGGGGUCAUCCCGACUUACCAACCCGAUGCAAACUACGAAUACCGAAGAAUGUUAUCACGGGAGACACACGGCGGGUGCUAACGUCCGUCGUGAAGAGGGAAACAACCCAGACCGCCAGCUAAGGUCCCAAAGUCAUGGUUAAGUGGGAAACGAUGUGGGAAGGCACAGACAGCCAGGAUGUUGGCUUAGAAGCAGCCAUCAUUUAAAGAAAGCGUAAUAGCUCACUGGUCGAGUCGGCCUGCGCGGAAGAUGUAACGGGGCUAAACCAUGCACCGAAGCUGCGGCAGCGACACUAUGUGUUGUUGGGUAGGGGAGCGUUCUGUAAGCCUGCGAAGGUGUGCUGUGAGGCAUGCUGGAGGUAUCAGAAGUGCGAAUGCUGACAUAAGUAACGAUAAAGCGGGUGAAAAGCCCGCUCGCCGGAAGACCAAGGGUUCCUGUCCAACGUUAAUCGGGGCAGGGUGAGUCGACCCCUAAGGCGAGGCCGAAAGGCGUAGUCGAUGGGAAACAGGUUAAUAUUCCUGUACUUGGUGUUACUGCGAAGGGGGGACGGAGAAGGCUAUGUUAGCCGGGCGACGGUUGUCCCGGUUUAAGCAUGUAGGCUGAUUAUCCAGGCAAAUCCGGAUAAUCAAGGCUGAGGUGUGAUGACGAGGCACUACGGUGCUGAAGUAACAAAUGCCCUGCUUCCAGGAAAAGCCUCUAAGCAUCAGGUAACAUCAAAUCGUACCCCAAACCGACACAGGUGGUCAGGUAGAGAAUACCAAGGCGCUUGAGAGAACUCGGGUGAAGGAACUAGGCAAAAUGGUGCCGUAACUUCGGGAGAAGGCACGCUGGUGUGUAGGUGAAGUCCCUGCGGAUGGAGCUGAGACCAGUCGAAGAUACCAGCUGGCUGCAACUGUUUAUUAAAAACACAGCACUGUGCAAACACGAAAGUGGACGUAUACGGUGUGACGCCUGCCCGGUGCCGGAAGGUUAAUUGAUGGGGUUAUCCGUAAGGAGAAGCUCUUGAUCGAAGCCCCGGUAAACGGCGGCCGUAACUAUAACGGUCCUAAGGUAGCGAAAUUCCUUGUCGGGUAAGUUCCGACCUGCACGAAUGGCGUAAUGAUGGCCAGGCUGUCUCCACCCGAGACUCAGUGAAAUUGAACUCGCUGUGAAGAUGCAGUGUACCCGCGGCAAGACGGAAAGACCCCGUGAACCUUUACUAUAGCUUGACACUGAACAUUGAGCCUUGAUGUGUAGGAUAGGUGGGAGGCUUUGAAGCGUGGACGCCAGUCUGCGUGGAGCCAACCUUGAAAUACCACCCUUUAAUGUUUGAUGUUCUAACGUUGGCCCCUGACCGGGGUUGCGGACAGUGUCUGGUGGGUAGUUUGACUGGGGCGGUCUCCUCCCAAAGCGUAACGGAGGAGCACGAAGGUUAGCUAAUCCUGGUCGGACAUCAGGAGGUUAGUGCAAUGGCAUAAGCUAGCUUGACUGCGAGCGUGACGGCGCGAGCAGGUGCGAAAGCAGGUCAUAGUGAUCCGGUGGUUCUGAAUGGAAGGGCCAUCGCUCAACGGAUAAAAGGUACUCCGGGGAUAACAGGCUGAUACCGCCCAAGAGUUCAUAUCGACGGCGGUGUUUGGCACCUCGAUGUCGGCUCAUCACAUCCUGGGGCUGAAGUAGGUCCCAAGGGUAUGGCUGUUCGCCAUUUAAAGUGGUACGCGAGCUGGGUUUAGAACGUCGUGAGACAGUUCGGUCCCUAUCUGCCGUGGGCGCUGGAGAAUUGAGGGGGGCUGCUCCUAGUACGAGAGGACCGGAGUGGACGCAUCACUGGUGUUCGGGUUGUCAUGCCAAUGGCACUGCCCGGUAGCUAAAUGCGGAAGAGAUAAGUGCUGAAAGCAUCUAAGCACGAAACUUGCCCCGAGAUGAGUUCUCCCUGAGACUUUAAGUCUCCUGAAGGAACGUUAAAGACGAUGACGUUGAUAGGCCGGGUGUGUAAGCGCAGCGAUGCGUUGAGCUAACCGGUACUAAUGAACCGUGAGGCUUAACCUU
rnacentral:rRNA from 1 species